rnacentral:rRNA from 1 species
UACGGGGGGGGCAAGCGUUGUUCGGAAUUACUGGGCGUAAAGGGCUCGUAGGCGGCCAACUAAGUCGGAUGUGAAAUCCCCAGGCUUAACCUGGGAACUGCAUCCGAUACUGGAUGGCUUGAAUCCGGGAGAGGGAUGCAGAAUUCCAGGUGUAGCGGUGAAAUGCGUAGAUAUCAGGAGGAACACCGGUGGCGAAGGCGGGUCUCUGGGCCGAUGACUGACGCUGAGGCACGAAAGCCGUGGGUAGCAAACAGG